CGUGGAAAGUCAGCGUGUGAGGAUGUGUCGUCUCAAUCAGCUUCAAAAAUUCUACUACGCAAUUAUUACUCGAUUACUGGUCUAACUUGAAAGGCGGGAAAAAUUCCAAUAUGGACGCCAUCAUUUUUGAAGAAGUUUGAUAUUUCACUUGCGUAUCGUAUGUACUUAUUCUAUUUUUAUUCGAUCGUUUUUUAUAUAUUUUUAUACUUUUUAUACUAAUUUCAGAGUAUAUUAUAAUGUAUAUUUAUAAUGAACAUUCACCACAAUUAUUAAUAGUUUUAAAUUAAUAAUAAUAUAUAUUCUACGUUUUUGUAUACGAAGUUUUUUAUUUAUAAAAUUUUAUUUAUAAAAAAUUGACAAUCCAUAGUAAAAAUAGUAAUUUUUUCUGAAAUAAAUAUUUAAUAGAAAAAAAAAAGAAGAAAUAUGGAAAAAAUAUUUUACUUCUUUUUCCAUAUAAUUUCAUCUCCUCCUUUUCCCCAUAAUAAUACAUCUUUAUUUUCAGACAAUUUUUGUGAUCGCGCGCAAUGCGAUCGAUAGAUUCAGUGUUUGUUUCGUAAUAGUUAUUACAAUCGAGAAAUUAGAGUCAGUGUUUAUUCGUCGAAAUUAAACGGACAUGUUAAUAAUAUUUUAUUUUUAUUGUUUUUUUAUUUUUAAUAUUCGUUUGCGGUACAGGGUAGAGUCAGUGCUUCUCGAAGGAAUAAUUUCUAUCGGAUUUCAAUUUAAAAAAUAUUUUUGAUUGCGUGCAAUGCGAUCUGUAGAAUCAGUGUUUGCUCCGUAAUAGUUUUUUAAGUAUUUUAGUGCGCAAUAACUUCAAUUAAAUCAUCAUAAUUAUUCGCGAAAUUAGAGUCAGUGUUUGUUCGUCGCCUAUGUUUUAAAUCGACGCGAUGGUAGUUUUGUAUUUUUUAUUUUAUUUUUUUAAAUAUUCGUUUUCGUACAGGGUAGAGUCAGUGUUUCUCGAAGGAAUGAGGCAAUCAUCCACCACGCGAAGAGUGCAGUUUCCACUUCUUCGUAAUGAUGACAUUUUGGGCCAUGACAGUGUAAAUGCUUCGCAUCUAUUGGUAAGUCGCAUGCAUUUAUGUUCCUCUGGUCACUCAAUCAUGUCGUAGGACGAAAGGUCCUAAUCGACACGGGUGAUUGGUUGUAUACAUAGAUUUUUGCACGAGCACAAUGACCACGGGUAUUCAUCAUAUCCGUGAAUAGUAACAUUUCUUUCUUUGUGUUUUAUUUAUUAGAGCAGGAUAGAUCUUCUUGCACGUCGCGUUUAAGAUGAUAUUGAUAGUUAAUAUGAUAUAAUAUGUCUAGUUAUUUUAGUAUUAUUAAUAUGAAUGAUAGAAAUAAUUAGUUUGAUCGUUUUUUGAGUUGAAAAAUGUUUCGAUAAUCAUUUGUAAAAUGAAAGUUAAAUAAACUAUAUGAAUCGAACAUUUAUGA